rnacentral:rRNA from 1 species
GACGAACGCUGGCGGCGUGCUUAACACAUGCAAGUCGAACGGAAAGGCCCUGCUUUUGUGGGGUGCUCGAGUGGCGAACGGGUGAGUAACACGUGAGUAACCUGCCCUUGACUUUGGGAUAACUUCAGGAAACUGGGGCUAAUACCGGAUAGGAGCUCCUGCUGCAUGGUGGGGGUUGGAAAGUUUCGGCGGUUGGGGAUGGACUCGCGGCUUAUCAGCUUGUUGGGGGGGUAGUGGCUUACCAAGGCUUUGACGGCUAGCCGGCCUGAGCGGGUGACCGGCCACAUUAGGACUGAGAUACGGCCCAGACUCCUACGGGAGGCAGCAGUGGAGAAUAUUGCACAAUGGGCGGAAGCCUGAUGCAGCAACGCCGCGUGCGGGAUGACGGCCUUCGGGUUGUAAACCGCUUUCGCCUGUGACGAGGCGUGAGUGACGGUAAUGGGUAAAGAAGCACCGGCUAACUACGUG